rnacentral:rRNA from 1 species
UGCGGAAUUUUAGAUAAUGGAGGGAACUCUGAUCUAGCGACGCCGCGUGCAGGAAGAAGGUCUUCGGAUUGUAAGCUGCUGUGGUAAGGGAAAAAUGCUAUGUAGAGUGGAAAGCUACAUAGAGGGAUGGUACCUUACUAGAAAGCCCCGGCUAGCUACGUGCCAGCAGCCGCGGUAAUACGUAGGGGGCGAGCGUUACCCGGAAUCACUGGGCGUAAAGGGAGCGUAGGUGGCCUAACAUGUCGACUGUGAAAACCCGGAGCUCAACUCCGGACUUGCAGUUGAAACUGGUAGGCUUGAGGACGGUAGAGGAAGACGGAACUGCCAGUGUAGGGGUAAAAUCCUUAGAUAUUGGCAGGAACGCCGGUGACGAAGGUGGUUUUCUGGGCCGGUUCUGACACUGAUGCUCGAAAGCCAGGGGAGCGAACGG